rnacentral:misc_RNA from 1 species
AACGCACCUUGCGCUCCUUGGUAUUCCGAGGAGCAUGCCUGUUUGAGUGUCAUUAAUAUAAUCUCAACCCCUUCUCUUGUUGAAGGGUUUGGAUGUGGGGGUUUGCUGGCCUUCUCAAAAGGUUCAGCUCCUCUGAAAUGCAUUAGCAGAACAACCUUGCUCAUUGGUGUGAUAACUAUCUACGCUUAUGAAUGUGAAGGGCAGUUCAGCUUUCUAGCCGUCUUUGGACAAUUCAUCAUUAAUGUGACCUCAAAUCAGGUAGGACUACCCGCUGAACUUAA